UACGUAGGGUGCGAGCGUUAAUCGGAAUUACUGGGCGUAAAGCGUGCGCAGGCGGUUCGUUGUGUCUGAUGUGAAAGCCCCGGGCUCAACCUGGGAAUGGCAUUGGAAACUGGCGAGCUAGAGUGUGGCAGAGGGGGGUGGAAUUCCGCGUGUAGCAGUGAAAUGCGUAGAGAUGCGGAGGAACACCGAUGGUGAAGGCAGCCCCCUGGGCUAGCACUGACGCUCAGGCACGAAAGCGUGGGGAGCAAACAGG
rnacentral:rRNA from 1 species